rnacentral:tRNA from 1 species
GGCUGAGUUUAAGCGAUAAAUUGUAAAUUUAUAGACGAAAUUUUUAAUUCUUUUACUAGGU